GCAAUCUGUGGAUUGUGGCAAAUGCCAGAGGGGCUGCUGUAAGAUGCCACAGAGAGUCACUAUUUAUUGGGUUGGGUGGGGGGAUAUUGCCUAUUUUGAAUGCCAGUUCAGUUCAAGCUUUUGUAAAGGCCACAGUUGAUUUUACUCUGAGCCCCCAACUUUAACCCAUAAAAUGCUCAUAAUAAUAGUAAGUACAUAGUGAUUCCUAGUCUAGUAGAUUUUCUAUAUUGCUUUUUGAAAUAUUUACAUUGCAAACAAAAAAAUAUAUUUUAUCUUGUUCUCCUUUUUGUCCUCUGUAAGGAAACAGUUUACCUUGCUCCUGUCUGAUGUCUUGCACAACUGUUUGGGUGCUAGGUGCACCGGCAGGUUUCACCACUUCUAAAGCUCCUGGCUUCUGGUCUGCAGGAGAAGAAAUAUUUACCGUGGUUCCUGGGCACAGUACAAAGCAUGGCGAGCAAGAAGACUUACCUGAUAAGGUUCUGUAACCACAACAGAAGGAACGGUUGCAGCACUUUCUAUUCUUGACAAGGUUUCAAGCCACGGACCAAUGAACAAGGUCCAGCCUCAAUCUUACCUGAAAGGGUUGAAAAGUCAGCAAUCUGGAACACAUGCUCCUCAUCUGGGUCAGAAGCGAUCAAGUUCAUUUCAUUUCGGAAGAGAUUAUAGUUAGGGUCAUGUGUAUCGACCACCCCAAUUACAUACAUUUCAACAUUUACAGAAUGGGCUUCCCUCACAACAAGGUCCAGUGAUAAAUUAUCGCGGACAUCAGCCUGCCCAUCUGUGAUAACAAUGGCGAUUUUUUUCACAUCUCCUCUGGACUGCUGAAACAAUUCUGUUGAUUUUUUGAUGGCGGUCGCAGUGUAUGUGCCUUCUCCCAAGUAAUUCAUGCGAUUGAUGGCUUCCCUUAGGUUCUCUUUGUUGGACAGUUGACCUAUGUGUGCAACAACCUCUACUUUGUGGCUGAAGUUUAUUAUUCCUACUUUAGAAGCUGAUUGAUCUGUUGAUAUUUUAUCGAUGACCCUGUUCACAAAUUGUUUAAUGAUAUCAAAGUUUUCUGGUCCCACGCUUUCAGAGCUGUCAAUAAUAAAGACGAGGUCCAGCGGGACAUCUUUGCAAUCUUUUCCACAACCUGUAGAAAAAAAUGUAAAGAACUAAUUGGUUUGCUGAUAUAUAAUGGAGUUAGACUAUAGCUUUUCAAAAAAUGUAUGAAAUCUUGAAAACAGCAGAAGACAUUUUCUGAAGUUUACAGAGUUGGAAAGGGAUCCAGGAGCAUCUUGGCCACCCUGCCCUGUUGCACCCCCUGCUCAACUUCUUUGGAUGGACAUCAGAGAACUUAAAGUGAUGAUUAUAUUCAUUUUAAUGGCACAGGUAAGUUAGCAUUUAGGAGCAAACUGGUGACAGCAGAUGACUGGCUGAGGGGGGGGGGGGGGCUUAAAUCUGGCAGACUGUGUUUACUGGCCUGUGACUAAAGCAUCAUGCUACAACAAACAUGUUGUUUUAAGUACUUUUGUCUAAACCUGCUAUAUUUUAUUCUUACAAUUGUAUGCAAUGGCAACCAUGUUGAUAGUGCAGGAGCACUUCCACCUUAAUUAAUUGCUCUCCAUUGCACAUGUGCAGGGGCAUUCAUAAUAUCUUAUUAUGGGCAUCUACAGGGAAAGUCUUGCUCACACUUGCAUCAGUAAUAAAAUAAUGGCAUUUAUAAUAAUAAACUGUAAACUUUUUCUUUUAAGGCAACAAUAUAAGCAUAAGAAAUCAUUUUUACUGUGUUAGUAAAUUGGCACUUUAAUAAAACCUUAUUUCAUAAUAUCUAGUAUAAAUAAAUUUAAAGCAACUGGA